rnacentral:rRNA from 1 species
UGGGGAAUAUUGGACAAUGGGCGAAAGCCUGAUCCAGCCAUGCCGCGUGUGUGAAGAAGGUCUUCGGAUUGUAAAGCACUUUAAGUUGGGAGGAAGGGCAGUAAGCGAAUACCUUGCUGUUUUGACGUUACCGACAGAAUAAGCACCGGCUAACUCUGUGCCAGCAGCCGCGGUAAUACAGAGGGUGCAAGCGUUAAUCGGAAUUACUGGGCGUAAAGCGCGCGUAGGUGGUUCGUUAAGUUGAAUGUGAAAGCCCCGGGCUCAACCUGGGAACAGCAUCCAAAACUGGCGAGCUAGAGUAGGGCAGAGGGUGGGGGAAUUUCCUGUGUAGCGGAGAAAUGCGUAGAUAUAGGAAGGAACACCAGUGGCGAAGGCGACCACCUGGGCUCAUACUGACACUGAGGUGCGAAAGCGUGGGGAGCAAACAGG